rnacentral:rRNA from 1 species
GUGCCAGCAGCCGCGGUAAUACGUAGGGGGCAAGCGUUGUUCGGAAUCACUGGGCUUAAAGCGUGCGCAGGCGGCCAUGCAAGUCAGAAGUGAAAUCCCGGGGCUUAACCCCGGAAUUGCUUUUGAAACUGCACGGCUAGAAUAUGGGAGAGGUUAGCAGAAUUCCGAGUGUAGAGGUGAAAUUCGCAGAUAUUCGGAGGAAUACCAGUGGCGAAGGCGGCUAACUGGACCAUUAUUGACGCUCAGGCACGAAAGCGUGGGGAGCAAACAGGAUUAGAUACCCCCGUAGUCC